rnacentral:other from 1 species
UAACCCCUGGGAGGUUCGUGAUUGGAAAUGCGUUUUUGAGCCAAUAAAGCGCAUGUUUGGGUAGCUUCCAACAGUUUUGGUGUGCAUGCUCCGCUUGCGGAGAAGCCUGAUAGACUGUAGCCAACCCCCCUCUUUAUAUAAGAGGUUCAAAAUGUUUUCCAACACGGUCUUCCGGGGUUUAU